UACGAAGGGGGCUAGCGUUGCUCGGAAUUACUGGGCGGAAAGGGCGCGUAGGCGGCAUGCCAAGCGUGUGGUGAAAGCCCGGGGCUCAACCCCGGGUCGGCCGUGCGGACUGGCGUGCUCGAGCACUGUAGGGGCGGGUGGAAUUCCGGGUGUAGCGGUGGAAUGCGUAGAGAUCCGGAAGAACACCGGUGGCGAAGGCGGCCCGCUGGGCAGGAAGGCUCGCAAGAGCCGGCUGACGCUGAGGCGCGACAGCGUGGGGAGCAAACAGG
rnacentral:rRNA from 1 species